rnacentral:rRNA from 1 species
CCCUUAGAGUUUGAUCCUGGCUCAGAAUGAACGUUGGCGGCGUGGAUUAGGCAUGCAAGUCGAGCGAGAACUCGGCUGUGGAGGCUUCGGCCAAAGCAGCCGGGGGAAAGCGGCAAACGGGGUAGUUAUACGUAGGCAACGUACCCAGAGGUCUGGGAUAGCCACGGGAAACCGUGGGUAAUACCGGAUGACCUCGCGGAGCGUGAUGGCUUUGCGAGCAAAGGUGUGAUUCCGCCUUUGGAGCGGCUUACGCGGUAUUAGCUAGUUGGUGAGGUAAUGGCUCACCAAGGCUGUGAUGCCUAGGGGGUGUUAGCGCAUGACCCCCACCACUGGGACUGAGAUACUGCCCAGACACCUACGGGUGGCUGCAGUCGAGAAUCUUCGGCAAUGGGCGCAAGCCUGACCGAGCGACGCCGCGUGCGGGAUGAAGGCCCUUGGGUUGUAAACCGCUGUCAGAGGGGAU